UGGUGGUAGCUGGAGAGAGACUGGAGACGUGCCGGGAAACUCUAGGGAAGAAGUGGACGUGGGCUAAGAUCUGAGAGCCAGUUGCUGGAGCCUUGGAGAUGUAAGUUCGGGAACGACCCAAAUCCAAAGCAAUCCAGAAAUAAACAAACAUACCGAGAAGAGAGAAAUGGAAUCAUAGAUGCUGUAUUUAAAUCAAAGAAGGCGGAAAAAGAAAGGAAC